AUGAAGCAGUAAUCGCUUGUAAUUUGCUGCUGUGGAGCUUGACGAGUUUUCGUGUUAUAUUCUUUUGUAUACUGUUUGCUAAUUCUUGGCGAUUUUGUUUGGCUUAAUGGUAAGUGGAAGUUUAUCGACUGAUGAUUUCUUAAAUUCAUAUAUAUAUUUAGAGUUUUACAAGAAUUCUUUGAUAUUAUUUUGAACCUAUUGGAGUCUAGGGUUAGGCAAAGUCUUAUAAUUUUUGCAUAUUUUUUCAUUAAUUGCUGUAUUAGUACACUUACUUUAAGUUGAAUUGUGGAUUCUGAUGAUCAAUUAUUUUUAGUUGCAAAAUUUGGAAAUGGAAAAAGAAAGGGUUUUAAGGCAUUCCGAUAAUUGAACUUAGGACCUCUCGCACACGAAGAGUGAAUCAUACAACUGGACCAAAUCUUCAAUUAUAGAUGUUUGACUUGAAUUUGUAUCCCCUAACUUGUUUGAAAUCUGAAUGCUGGUAGUAUUAUAUAAUUAUUCUAGUAGAUGGAAUGCCCAAUCUUUGAUGUUUAUCAGAAAUUCCUUUUUGCCUUCAGGUAUUUUCUUCAAGAAUCUGAUAAAUUUGGAUGUCUGCCUGCUUAGUUGUUGUAGAAGAAUGGUUUAAAGAUGAGCUUAUUGAAUGAUUAGGCUGUUAGUGACUGUUCCAUUAAAUCUGUAUCCUUAAUCCUUUGGUUUCUGGGGCUCUGCAAACUAAAUGGCAAAGUCUUUUAUUGAGGCAGUAGGUGGAGGUGCCAUCUACUUUAGCUGUGAAAGCAUUUAGUAAGUCUACAUUUCUACUAAUGAGUGAAUACUACCUUGACCAAGUUUUUCACCUUUGCAGUGCUUUGCCUCUCUUUUUACUACAGUCGUUGCACCCCGCUUUGCCAUCUACUUUAGAUCUGGCUUUCUAGUUCACUAGUUUUUCUUGUCAUAAACAUUGGUCAAGAAGUAUUUAAGCCUGCUCCUCAAAUGUCCGUUCAUUUACAACCAAAGCAUGUUGAUUCAUUUUUGACUGGGAUGGGCGGUAUCUUUUAUCUGAAGACUUUGAGAGCUAUUAAUAAAAUUACAUAAAGAUUUGC
rnacentral:lncRNA from 1 species